AGUGAUUGAUUACAGAAGAUGCUGAGAAAUGCAUUUGCACAUUUCAGCGUGCCCCAAAUUAAUUAAUUAUUCCACUUGAGUUACAGGGAGGAGAACCUCAAUGCACCCCUUCCAGCUUGAUGCCAGGGCCAGCAAGAAAUGCCCAGAACUUGGAGAAGGAUGAAGGUCAUCAGGAGAGCAUUUGAAGGGCAGCACAAAGGAAUUCCUACUACCCCAGCCAACAGUGAUGGCUUCCUUCCUUGCAAGUCAUUCCAGAAGCCAUGCAGGGCUCAUUACCGUGGCACCAGCAUGGAUAUUCCCAUCUCCCCAUGACCUUCCAUGGGGUUACCUUGAGAAGACUGCACCACAGUCCCCUGUGCUUUCUCUUUCAGAAAACCCACCAAGAUGCUCAGAGGCACUGAGGUGCAGUGCAGGAGAUACCUCUGGUCUGUCAUAGUUGAUGCAGCAUUCAGACCCAUGCAGGCAUGUGAAUCCAUGGUGAAGCAAGGAAGAGCAGCUUUGGUAACUCUCCCUGUCUCUUCAUGUGCCCUGAUUGUUUGCUCUCCAGUUCCCAUGCUAGGCCAAUGCCUCCUGGCCAGAAUAGAAAUGCAGCCAUGCAGAUUUGUUAAAUGUCUGUGGGCUGAGAAUGCCUCUACCUGUCCAGUGUCUAAGAGACUGCAUGAUCCUGCCUGAUGAAAGAUGAUGAAAGAGACAUGACAAACAAAGGAGUAGGAGCAUGGAGGGGCGAUAAGAACUGUGAUAAGGUCUAAAAAACCCCAGCAGAGAAGCAGGCAGUGAAGGAAUAGUCUCACAGCCACUUCGGCCAAAUUCCACAGAAAACUCAUAGAGAAAAUAAGGAAGGUACUGUAUCUGCAGGAUUGUGGUGGCUGCCAAAAGUCUUUCCUGUUGAUUCUUGAAUUUCUGUUUCAUGAAUAAAGUGUCGAGAGGCCUCAGGCAAGUUUAAGACUGUGAUAUGUAAAGAGACUCCAUUGCUGCAUGGGGAAUGAGAAAGUCUUUCUCUAAAAAAUAAAAUUCAGAAGAAGAAUUUGGGAUGCAAAAGUCAAAAGGCUUCAAAUCCUUGACAUAUGUGGACUUCAGGCAGUAGACUUCUCCCUUCAGCUCCUUCCUCUGGGUCACUUGCCACUUUCAGAACCCAUUACGAGAGUCCUGCUCCCAACACAGGCCUGAAUGCAAGUAAAGCAUAGUCAGGGCAAUAAUCCAAAUUCUACUACAAGCUCAGCCUGAACUUCUAGUAUGAGUAAUACAACUGGAAGAAGCCUGAAGAAUGAUUAAAUCUAGUCCUUGGCAGUCACAGGCAACCAAGGAUCCACAUGCUUUCUUUGCUUUGCCACAAAACACUUCAUUAAUCCAUGAGAAAAUCAAGAUCUUUGGUGCAGAAAUAAAGUAAGCAACAGCCACCCCAAAGGACCAUAGAAAUGUAGCAAUAAGGGUCCUAAUGUCCUAGGACAAUGUCAGAGUAAGAAACAAGUCAGCAGAAAAACGCCCAGAUGAUAUCUUUGGAGGCAACUCAUUGGUUCUUGAUUUGACUCUUGUUUCUAAUCUUACGAUCAUCUCAGUUCUGAAGUUUGAUGACCAGAGAGAAAACCUCAUGAGAUUGCUUGGUUGCUUGCUCCUACAUGGAGAAGCUCUGCCUGUUUUCAACCUUCUUCCCUCCUGCUGUAGCCAGUCUCUGACCUCCAGAAGGAGGAGAGACACCAAGAACCACAUCCUGUCCAAACCUUCCUUAUUCCCCCUGUUCAGAUAAACUGAGCAUUAUGGGGAGACACAAUGUGCCCUGGGGCCUACAAAGGACCAUCAGGAGCACUGAAUUAACUAAUCUUUAUCCCACCUUGGCAGAGGUCCCAAUCAAUGGAGCAUUUUGCCAGGGAAUCUGGAUGAGGAUCUAACUGCAUUUUUGUGAUAAAUCCUAAUUUAGAAGUUUAAAGAUUUAGCCAGUGUUGAACAUCUCAUAUUGACUCAGGAAAACUCUG